UACGUAGGGGGCAAGCGUUGUCCGGAAUUAUUGGGCGUAAAGCGCGUGUAGGCGGCUCGGUAAGUCUGCUGUGAAAGUCCAAGGCUCAACCUUGGAAAGCCGGUGGAUACUGUCGAGCUCGAGUCCGGAAGAGGCGAGUGGAAUUCCUGGUGUAGCGGUGAAAUGCGCAGAUAUCAGGAGGAACACCAAUGGCGAAGGCAGCUCGCUGGGACGGUAACUGACGCUGAGACGCGAAAGCGUGGGGAGCAAACAGG
rnacentral:rRNA from 1 species